CCUACGGGCGGCAGCAGUGGGGAAUAUUGCACAAUGGGCGCAAGCCUGAUGCAGCCAUGCCGCGUGUGUGAAGAAGGCCUUCGGGUUGUAAAGCACUUUCAGUGGGGAGGAAGGCGUUAAGGUUAAUAACCUUGUCGAUUGACGUUACCCGCAGGAGAAGCACCGGCUAACUCCGUGCCAGCAGCCGCGGUAAUACGGAGGGUGCAAGCGUUAAUCGGAAUUACUGGGCGUAAAGCGCACGCAGGCGGUCUGUCAAGUCGGAUGAGAAAUCCCCGGGCUCAACCUGGGAACUGCAUUCGAAACUGGCAGGCUAGAGUCUUGUAGAGGGGGGUAGAAUUCCAGGUGUAGCGGUGAAAUGCGUAGAGAUCUGGAGGAAUACCGGUGGCGAAGGCGGCCCCCUGGACAAAGACUGACGCUCAGGUGCGAAAGCGUGGGGAGCAAACAGGAUUAGAUACCCUUGUAGUC
rnacentral:rRNA from 1 species